AGUGAACGCUGGCGGUAGGCCUAACACAUGCAAGUCGAACGGCAGCACAGUAAGAGCUUGCUCUUACGGGUGGCGAGUGGCGGACGGGUGAGGAAUACAUCGGAAUCUACUUUUUCGUGGGGGAUAACGUAGGGAAACUAAGGCUAAUACCGCAUAGGACCUACGGGUGAAAGCAGGGGAUCUUCGGACCUUGCGCGAUUGAAUGAGCCGAUGUCGGAUUAGCUAGUUGGCGGGGUAAAGGCCCACCAAGGCGACGAUCCGUAGCUGGUCUGAGGAUGAUCAGCCACACUGGAACUGAGACACGGUCCAGACUCCUACGGGAGGCAGCAGUGGGGAAUAUUGGACAAUGGGCGCAAGCCUGAUCCAGCCAUACCGCGUGGGUGAAGAAGGCCUUCGGGUUGUAAAGCCCUUUUGUUGGGAAAGAAAAGCAGCAGGUUAAUACCCCGCUGUUCUGACGGUACCCAAAGAAUAAGCACCGGCUAACUUCGUG
rnacentral:rRNA from 1 species